GGUUAAGCGACUAAGCGUACACGGUGGAUGCCCUGGCAGUCAGAGGCGAUGAAGGACGUGCUAAUCUGCGAAAAGCGCCGGCGAGGUGAUAUGAACCCUUGACCCGGCGAUGUCCGAAUGGGGAAACCCAGUGCAAUCCGUUGCACUAUCGUUAACUGAAUACAUAGGUUAACGAGGCGAACCGGGGGAACUGAAACAUCUAAGUACCCCGAGGAAAAGAAAUCAACCGAGAUUCCCCCAGUAGCGGCGAGCGAACGGGGAGCAGCCCAGAGUCUGAAUCAGCUUGUGUGUUAGUGGAAGCGUCUGGAAAGUCGCACGGUACAGGGUGAAAGUCCCGUACACGAAAAUGCACAGGCUGUGAACUCGAAGAGUAGGGCGGGACACGUGGUAUCCUGUCUGAAUAUGGGGGGACCAUCCUCCAAGGCUAAAUACUCCUGACUGACCGAUAGUGAACCAGUACCGUGAGGGAAAGGCGAAAAGAACCCCGGCGAGGGGAGUGAAAAAGAACCUGAAACCGUGUACGUACAAGCAGUGGGAGCACCUUCGGGUGUGACUGCGUACCUUUUGUAUAAUGGGUCAGCGACUUAUAUUCUGUAGCAAGGUUAACCGUAUAGGGGAGCCGAAGGGAAACCGAGUCUUAACUGGGCGUUAAGUUGCAGGGUAUAGACCCGAAACCCGGUGAUCUAGCCAUGGGCAGGUUGAAGGUUGGGUAACACUAACUGGAGGACCGAACCGACUAAUGUUGAAAAAUUAGCGGAUGACCUGUGGCUGGGGGUGAAAGGCCAAUCAAACCGGGAGAUAGCUGGUUCUCCCCGAAAGCUAUUUAGGUAGCGCCUCGUGAACUCAUCUUCGGGGGUAGAGCACUGUUUCGGCUAGGGGGCCAUCCCGGCUUACCAACCCGAUGCAAACUACGAAUACCGAAGAAUGUUAUCACGGGAGACACACGGCGGGUGCUAACGUCCGUCGUGAAGAGGGAAACAACCCAGACCGCCAGCUAAGGUCCCAAAGUCAUGGUUAAGUGGGAAACGAUGUGGGAAGGCCCAGACAGCCAGGAUGUUGGCUUAGAAGCAGCCAUCAUUUAAAGAAAGCGUAAUAGCUCACUGGUCGAGUCGGCCUGCGCGGAAGAUGUAACGGGGCUAAACCAUGCACCGAAGCUGCGGCAGCGACGCUUAUGCGUUGUUGGGUAGGGGAGCGUUCUGUAAGCCGUUGAAGGUGGCCUGUGAGGGUUGCUGGAGGUAUCAGAAGUGCGAAUGCUGACAUAAGUAACGAUAAAGCGGGUGAAAAGCCCGCUCGCCGGAAGACCAAGGGUUCCUGUCCAACGUUAAUCGGGGCAGGGUGAGUCGACCCCUAAGGCGAGGCCGAAAGGCGUAGUCGAUGGGAAACAGGUUAAUAUUCCUGUACUUGGUGUUACUGCGAAGGGGGGACGGAGAAGGCUAUGUUAGCCGGGCGACGGUUGUCCCGGUUUAAGCAUGUAGGCGGAGGUUCCAGGUAAAUCCGGUACCUUUUAACGCUGAGGUGUGAUGACGAGGCACUACGGUGCUGAAGUAACAAAUGCCCUGCUUCCAGGAAAAGCCUCUAAGCAUCAGGUAACACGAAAUCGUACCCCAAACCGACACAGGUGGUCAGGUAGAGAAUACCAAGGCGCUUGAGAGAACUCGGGUGAAGGAACUAGGCAAAAUGGUGCCGUAACUUCGGGAGAAGGCACGCUGAUAUGUAGGUGAAGCCCCUGCGGGUGGAGCUGAAAUCAGUCGAAGAUACCAGCUGGCUGCAACUGUUUAUUAAAAACACAGCACUGUGCAAACACGAAAGUGGACGUAUACGGUGUGACGCCUGCCCGGUGCCGGAAGGUUAAUUGAUGGGGUUAGCGGCAACGCGAAGCUCUUGAUCGAAGCCCCGGUAAACGGCGGCCGUAACUAUAACGGUCCUAAGGUAGCGAAAUUCCUUGUCGGGUAAGUUCCGACCUGCACGAAUGGCGUAAUGAUGGCCAGGCUGUCUCCACCCGAGACUCAGUGAAAUUGAACUCGCUGUGAAGAUGCAGUGUACCCGCGGCAAGACGGAAAGACCCCGUGAACCUUUACUAUAGCUUGACACUGAACACUGGUCCUUGAUGUGUAGGAUAGGUGGGAGGCUUUGAAGCGUGGACGCCAGUCUGCGUGGAGCCAUCCUUGAAAUACCACCCUUUAAUGGCUGGUGUUCUAACGUAGACCCGUAAUCCGGGUUGCGGACAGUGUCUGGUGGGUAGUUUGACUGGGGCGGUCUCCUCCCAAAGAGUAACGGAGGAGCACGAAGGUUAGCUAAUCCUGGUCGGACAUCAGGAGGUUAGUGCAAUGGCAUAAGCUAGCUUGACUGCGAGAGUGACGGCUCGAGCAGGUGCGAAAGCAGGUCAUAGUGAUCCGGUGGUUCUGAAUGGAAGGGCCAUCGCUCAACGGAUAAAAGGUACUCCGGGGAUAACAGGCUGAUACCGCCCAAGAGUUCAUAUCGACGGCGGUGUUUGGCACCUCGAUGUCGGCUCAUCACAUCCUGGGGCUGAAGUAGGUCCCAAGGGUAUGGCUGUUCGCCAUUUAAAGUGGUACGCGAGCUGGGUUUAGAACGUCGUGAGACAGUUCGGUCCCUAUCUGCCGUGGGCGCUGGAGAAUUGAGGGGGGCUGCUCCUAGUACGAGAGGACCGGAGUGGACGCAUCACUGGUGUUCGGGUUGUCAUGCCAAUGGCACUGCCCGGUAGCUAAAUGCGGAAGAGAUAAGUGCUGAAAGCAUCUAAGCACGAAACUUGCCCCGAGAUGAGUUCUCCCUGACUCCUUGAGAGUCCUGAAGGAACGUUGAAGACGACGACGUUGAUAGGUCGGAUGUGUAAGCGCAGCGAUGCGUUGAGCUAACCGAUACUAAUGAACCGUGAGGCUUAACCUUACAACGCCGAAGAUGUUUUG
rnacentral:rRNA from 1 species